UGAACCUUAUAAUUUUAAAUUGCCCUAUACAUAAUUCUGUUUUCUCAUCUUUAGUAGUAAUGACCUAUUCUCGUGGUCCAAAAACAGAAAAAAUCUGAUUUUAUUUACUGUAUAUGCAUAGAAAAUAUGGGUGCAUACAAUAUAUCAAGUCAAUUGGAUCACGGGAAGUGAGUGGAAAUUCGAUCGUAAGAUUACACCCUCCGAUAUAUAAAGCACGGUGAAUAACAAUAAUUAAUAGGUACAAAUGUAAGAGAAAAACAUAGUUGACCUGAUAAUAAUAAUACAUAUGAUAAUAUAAUUAAAAAUAAUUAUUAAAUAAUUAAUAACAGAUUAUUAAACAACUAAUAUGGUAAUAUAGCAUAGGAAAGUACCAUAAGAGUUUAAUAUUAUAGAGAGAGAGAACUGCGAGAGACUAAGAAUUUCUAUCAAAAGUAGUUACCUACUCUUCGAUCAAUAUAACUUGUGGAAUAAAAAUAUACGGGAGUAAGAUUUGCCCGUUUGGCGUGGAAAACCUUAUUCCCUUGAAUAUUUUACUGCGGUAAUAAGAAUACAAGAGACGAGGAAUUGCCUGUUAAACCGGCUCUUUCUAUCUUUCAAACAAUGGUUCGCUAUCCAUUGCUUUGCCGGGUUUACGAGCAUGGUCUAUCCACACUAUAUGGUGAAAAGUUUCAA